rnacentral:lncRNA from 1 species
GGUUGAUAUUUGUGAUGCAGAAACUUCAAUUUAUUGUCUUGUAUAUAUUUGUUAAGUACAGCAUGUGUUGUUUUUUGCUUGAAUUAUUUUCUAAAAUAAACUGUUUUACCCAUUCAUGAAUUAUCGUUUUGUUUAUUCUAUAUGUAUUGUCUUACAGUUUACUAUCGAAGGAGAGCUGGUUUUUUUUAAAUAGUGGCACCAAAAUUAGAUGAGUUUUUGAUUUUACAGGUACAGUAUUUUUUAAGAAGG